CCUACGGGGGACUGCAGUGAGGAAUAUUGGUCAAUGGGCGAGAUCCUGAACCAGCCAAGCCGCGUGAAGGAAGAAGGAUCUAUGGUUUGUAAACCUCUUUUAUCUGAGAAUAAAGUGAGGAACGUGUUCCUUUUUGUGUGUACCCUAUGAAUAAGCAUCGGCUAACUCCGUGCCAGCAGCCGCGGUAAUACGGAGGAUGCGAGCGUUAUCCGGAUUUAUUGGGUUUAAAGGGUGCGUAGGUGGUUAAUUAAGUCAGCGGUGAAAUUUGGUGGCUCAACCAUAAUAUUGCCGUUGAAACUGGUUGACUUGAGUAUAUUUGAGGUAGGCGGAAUGCGUGGUGUAGCGGUGAAAUGCAUAGAUAUCACGCAGAACUCCGAUUGCGAAGGCAGCGUACUAAACUAUAACUGACACUGAAGCACGAAAGCGUGGGGAUCAAACAGGAUUAGAUACCCCUGUAGUC
rnacentral:rRNA from 1 species